AUGGUGUCUGAGGCCAGCAGCGGCAGCGAGUGGGCUGCUCCUGGGAGUCAGGGUCUGAGAGCAGAUUCUCAGACUGUGGUCACCCAGAAGCCAUCACUCUCAGUGUCUCCAGGAGGGACAGUCACACUCAUAUGUGGCCUCAGCUCUGGGUCAGUCUCUACAAGUAAUUACCCUGGCUGGUACCAGCAGACCCAAGGCCGGGCUUCUCGCACAAUUAUCUACAGCACAAGCAGCCGCCCCUCUGGGGUCCCUAAUCGCUUCCCUGGAUCCAUCUCUGGGAACAAAGCCGCCCUCACCAUCACAGGAGCCCAGCCUGAGGACGAGGCUGACUAUUACUGUUCCUUGUAUAUGGGUAGUUACACUGACACGGUGAUUUAG